UACGAAGGGGGCGAGGCGUUGUUCGGAUUUACUGGGCGUAAAGGGGCGCGAGCAGGCGGCUCGAUUUUGUCAGGCGUGAAAGCCCCGGGCUUAACCUGGGAACUGCGUUUGAAACUGGAAGGCUAGAGUGUGGCAGAGGGGGGUGGGAAUUCCACGUGUAGCAGUGAAAUGCGUAGAUAUGUGGAGGAACACCGAUGGCGAAGGCAGCCCCCUGGGUCAAGAUUGACGCUCAUGCACGAAAGCGUGGGGAGCAAACAGG
rnacentral:rRNA from 1 species